AUUCACUAGAUAAUUAUAUUCACAGCAUUCACUCACUGUGUGGAUUCGCUAGCUUAGCUUAGCUUAGCUCGUAGCUGACUCACUAGCAGCAUGGCCUCUUUACCUGCCCGUCGGGCACCAUCGCCUUUGGAUCAGGUGACCCUGAGUCCUCACUUAGUUACAAUGGUGAUGGGGGAUUCCCAUGAUGCAUUGAGUAUUGAGUAUUUCUUCCUCAGUCACCUUUUUCACUCACGGUGUGUUUAUACACCUCUCUGCAUUUAAUUAUUAGUUAUUAUUAAUUUUUGGCUGUCUUUCACAGCAUGUCUGUCCUGUCUUAAUCCGCUACCCCCAGCCAGUUGUGGCAGAUGGCCACCACUGCCUGAGCCUGGAUCUGCUGGAGGUUUCCUCCGGUUUAAAGGGAGUUUUUCCUUCCCACUGUCGCCAAAGAGCUUGAUCAUAGAGGGUCAUCUUAUUGUUGGGGUUUUCUCUGUAUUGUUGUAGUGUCUUUAUCUUCAUGUGAUUUGAUGCUAUAUAAAUAAAAUUGAAUUGAACUGAAUUGAAUUGAAUGUUUGAUCCAAUGAGAUUAAAUGCUAAAAAGGUUAUCUGUUGCUCUUGUGUAAAAUACAGGAGGCUAAAAUGUCAGCUCUGGAAAAAACAAAACAAAACAACCAAAACCUGGUUUUAACACAUAACUAAUAAUCUGACCAAACCCUGAAUGUGUCUGAAAGAAUAAAUUGAGCCUUGGGGGUAUUUUCCUCUAUUCUGCCAUGCUGCUGCUUGUCCAUAUUUGACUAAGGGGAUUCGGUAAUGGCUUCUCCCCGUGUCCCAGAACCAAAUAGAGUUUCCAACAGUGGCUGGCACAUAGCAUGACUGGGUAUGCAACCGAGACGCCGUUAUGGCCUUAACACAAUGCCAUUAUCGCUGUAACACAGUGCUAAUGCUCUCACUUGCUUGCUCUCUUAAAACACACACUCACACAAACAGACACACACACACAGACAUACACACUAAGGCUGUGUCUCUCCGGAAACUAAUGGGUUGUGUUCCUAGAAAGACAUGGAUACUUAAGAGCUGGUUAGGGGCUGAACACAGAUGGCGUGUGUGUGUGUUUGAAAGAAAGAGAGAGACUGACAUAUGUGAGUUCUGUUGUUUGUUUUUGCCUAUGUUUAUAUACAGACUUUCUCAUGAAGCCUCUAGCCACGCAAGAGUCUGCUGGUAAUUGUCCAGCAAAAAGUUGUUCUUCACUGUGUCUUUCUGCACGUUUAUGCUUUGUAAUGACUAUUUACAUUUUGGUUGUGUGUGUGUGUGUGUGUGUGUGUGUGGCUAAAUUUCUGUCUGAUUUGUUCUGUGCUCAUGCUUGUGUGAGUCCCUAAGUGUGAAUGCUCAUGAUGUUUUUUCACAGUAGUGCAUCCUUCUGUGUCAUACCUGCAAAAUCAAGCUUGGCUAACAGUAGAAAUACAUUACUCUUUUGCACCUGAUUCAAAAAUUGGGCUUAAAGUGGCACAUGUACCCUUGCUAAAUAUGAUAACACACUGAAACACAUCCACAUUUUAAGUUCAAGCACUCAUGUAAAUCAAACAUACAUUUUCAUCCACACACACAAACAUACAGACAUAAACACACAGUAGUGGUAUUUUAUAGUUUCAGUUUACAUAUCCAUUCCGCAUAUAUUCAUAUAGAGAACUAAGAACAUGUGACAAAACCUAAAAUGCUCCAAUGGUGUGAUGUCGCUGGUUCUUAUCAUCAAUGGUGGUUAAAACAAAAAAGCAAGAAGAGUAUGACACCAGCGAGAGAGGAGAGUAAAAGUAUUCAGACAGAGAGAAAGGGGUCUUCUCACCAUCUUGUCAUCUCAUCUGUCCUUCUACAUAUGGUUCUGUGUUUGCCCAGCCCUGGCUAAUGCCAAUGUAAGCUCGGAAUUCAGAGACAUGAAUCUAAUUUGCAUUUUGCAGCUGCCAUCUGUUCGAGGUCUAUAUGUGCAAUCUGAUACAAAUUUAACAUAAAUGUGGCUGUUUGUGAAAUUUAAU
ensembl:lncRNA